UUUUACCCACUGAAUUUCUUAACCCCUUUUAUGCUUUCGUAUCAAGAAAAACAAAUGAAAAAACGAAUUGUGUUCUAGGGCUCCUGUCGCUCCUCGAAAGCUCGAAGUCGAAAGAUAAGAUUUGGGUUUGGAGAUUAGCUUCAGUUUCAUCACGAGCAGCGCCAUAAAGAUUACAAGUGAGGUCUUUCGGCAGAGGAAGUGAUAACGACGAUCUGAUGGAGGAUAGGUCAGAAGUGAUAUGCUGUGUGUUAUUGGCAUUUGUUACAGUGCUAUACUGUGUGUACUUUGUGGUAGGAGUGCCUUUGCUGAUGUUUUGUAUUCUACAAAUUCUACAAAGCACUGGCUCUCUCAUUGACAAUUGUACUACUGCAAUUGGUUUUUUUCUUAUCUGUCUCGUAGCUACCAUCGGGGUUUGCAAACAAUUUGUUGUUAUUGCACCAGAGUGCAUCAAAUUGUUAAGGAUGUUAAAGGGUCUCCUUCAUCACCAUGAAGAGGAGGCGGCCACCAAAAAUUUGCUGGAAGAUGAGGCCGACAAAGUAUAGAAGUAUGUGGGAUAAAUGUUUUUAAUUAUAUGGUCAUUUACUGGCUAUCAAUCAUGUUAUCUCUAUUUGGAUGAUGAUUAUUAUUUUGUUUGAGUGACCUUAUAUGAAAGCUUUUGGGGAAUCUAUUACUUAUUCUAACUUCA